rnacentral:lncRNA from 1 species
GGCGAUGUCGACCCAGUAAUGAGAAAACACAUAGCAAUACUUUCUGGAUCGCUUUCAAGCUCUGUUGUGGGAGGGGCGCAGAGGAAUCGAUGGCAGCCGGUUUCCCUGAAUCGGAGCGGACGUUUCAAACAGCGCAGAGUGAGGAUAUAGAGAGAAAGCCCGUUGAAAGGUUUGACAAGAUCACAGUGUGGCAGAAGUGCGAUCACGGAUCACACGCUUCCCCAAGCACGCGAUGCUUUGGUGGUACCUGGUGACUUCAGCAUUGAUCGGUGUAUCAACUAUUCUGAAUGUCGCAUCUGGGUGUCACGUGAUCUGAUUUAGCGUUAUCUAAUCUGUGGGUGGUGGAGAAAGAACACCAUCUUUACAAUGCAACCAAGAGGAUACUUUGAGGAGAAAAACUGACCGGAGCUUUGUCAGAAAGUUUCCCCUUUCGCCUACUCUGAAGCGCCAUAAGCCUGGAACACAGUGGUGUACAAUCAUCAAAGCCUGUUCACAGAUGUUUGUUGGGGCGGAAUCAAGUUUGGUUUCAAGAGUGGCUGAAGUGAAGGCUACGACUUCUUGGACUCUUGUAUGAAAGACAGAAUGCUC